rnacentral:rRNA from 1 species
GAUGAACGCUGGCGGCGUGCUUAACACAUGCAAGUCGAACGAUGAAGCCCAGCUUGCUGGGUGGAUUAGUGGCGAACGGGUGAGUAACACGUGAGUAACCUGCCCUUAACUCUGGGAUAAGCCUGGGAAACUGGGUCUAAUACCGGAUAGGAGCGUCCACCGCAUGGUGGGUGUUGGAAAGAUUUAUCGGUUUUGGAUGGACUCGCGGCCUAUCAGCUUGUUGGUGAGGUAAUGGCUCACCAAGGCGACGACGGGUAGCCGGCCUGAGAGGGUGACCGGCAACAGUGGGACUGAGACAGGCCCCAGCCUCCGAGGGGGGGAAGCGGGGGGGAGUAUGACACAGGGGGCGAGGGCGGGAGGCAGCGGCGCGGGGGGAGGGAGGACGGCUUUGGGUUGGAAAACUUCUUGCAGGGGAAAAGAAGCAAAAGUGAGGGUCCCUAAAAAAGAAGCCCCGGCUAACUACGUG